rnacentral:rRNA from 1 species
CACAUGCAAGUCGAGCGGUUGAAGGAAGCUUGCUUCCUGAUUCAGCGGCGGACGGGUGAGUAAUGCCUAGGAAUCUGCCUGGUAGUGGGGGACAACGUUUCGAAAGGAACGCUAAUACCGCAUACGUCCUACGGGAGAAAGCAGGGGACCUUCGGGCCUUGCGCUAUCAGAUGAGCCUAGGUCGGAUUAGCUAGUUGGUGAGGUAAUGGCUCACCAAGGCGACGAUCCGUAACUGGUCUGAGAGGAUGAUCAGUCACACUGGAACUGAGACACGGUCCAGACUCCUACGGGAGGCAGCAGUGGGGAAUAUUGGACAAUGGGCGAAAGCCUGAUCCAGCCAUGCCGCGUGUGUGAAGAAGGUCUUCGGAUUGUAAAGCACUUUAAGUUGGGAGGAAGGGCAGUCAGCGAAUACCUUGCUGUCUUGACGUUACCGACAGAAUAAGCACCGGCUAACUCUGUGCCAGCAGCCGCGGUAAUACAGAGGGUGCAAGCGUUAAUCGGAAUUACUGGGCGUAAAGCGCGCGUAGGUGGUUUGUUAAGUUGAAUGUGAAAUCCCCGGGCUCAACCUGGGAACUGCAUCCAAAACUGGCAAGCUAGAGUAGGGCAGAGGGUGGGUGGAAUUUCCUGUGUAGCG